UGGGGAAUCUUGCGCAAUGGGCGAAAGCCUGACGCAGCAACGCCGCGUGCGGGACGAAGGCCUUCGGGUUGUAAACCGCUUUCAGCAGGGACGAUUAUGACGGUACCUGCAGAAGAAGCCCCGGCCAACUACGUGCCAGCAGCCGCGGUAAUACGUAGGGGGCAAGCGUUGUCCGGAUUUAUUGGGCGUAAAGAGCUCGUAGGCGGCUCGGUAAGUCAGGUGUGAAAACUUCAGGCUCAACUUGGAGAUUGCACUUGAUACUGCUGUGGCUAGAGUCCGGUAGGGGAGCAUGGAAUUCCUGGUGUAGCGGUGAAAUGCGCAGAUAUCAGGAGGAACACCAGUAGCGAAGGCGGUGCUCUGGGCCGGAACUGACGCUGAGGAGCGAAAGCGUGGGUAGCAAACAG
rnacentral:rRNA from 1 species